rnacentral:rRNA from 1 species
UAGUUCGAUUCUGGCUCAGGAUGAACGCUGGCGGCAUGCCUAAUACAUGCAAGUCGAACGGAGUGAAGCCUUCGGGUUUCAUUCAGUGGCGAACGGGUGAGUAAUACGCAGGGAACCUGGCCAUGGCAGGGGGAUACACUCUGGAAACGGAGCAUAAGACCCCAUAGGCAGUAAGGCGGCAUCGCCUUACUGUUAAAGAAAGCUGAAAGGCUUUGGCGAUGGAUGGACCUGCGGUGCAUUAGCUUGUUGGUGAGGCAACGGCUUACCAAGGCGAUGAUGCAUAGCCGGCCUGAGAGGGCGGACGGCCACACUGGGACUGAGACACGGCCCAGACUCCUGCGGGAGGCAGCAGUAGGGAAUUUUCGUCAAUGGGCGCAAGCCUGAACGAGCAAUGCCGCGUGAGUGAGGAAGGUCUUCGGACUGUAAAGCUCUGUUGCCGGGGAAAAAGGGGAAAUGCAGGAAAUGGCAUUUCAUGGAUGGUACCCGGCCAGAAAGCCACGGCUAACUACGUGCCAGCAGCCGCGGUAAUACGUAGGUGGCGAGCGUUAUCCGGAAUGAUUGGGCGUAAAGGGUGCGCAGGCGGUCUGUUAAGUCUGAAGGCAAAGGGAUGAGCUCAACUCAUUUAUGAUUCAGAAACUGGCAGACUUGAGGACAGGAGAGGGCGGUGGAACUCCAUGUGUAGCGGUAAAAUGCGCAGAGAUAUGGAAGAACACCAGUGGCGAAGGCGGCCGCCUGGCCUGUGACUGACGCUGAGGCACGAAAGCGUGGGGAGCAAAUAGGAUUAGAUACCCUAGUAGUCCACGCCGUAAACGAUGAGGAGCAGGUGUUGGGAGUGAAAUCUCAGUGCCGAAGCCAACGCAGUGACUCCUCCGCCUGGGGAGUAUGCACGCAAGUGUGAAACUCAAAGGAAUUGACGGGGGCCCGCACAAGCGGUGGAGUAUGUGGUUUAAUUCGAAGCAACGCGAAGAACCUUACCAGGUUUUGACAUCGGAUGCGAAGGCGCAGAGAUGCGCUGGAGGCUAUCAUCCAGACAGGUGGUGCAUGGUUGUCGUCAGCUCGUGUCGUGAGAUGUUCAGUUAAGUCUGGCAACGAGCGCAACCCCCGUGGUAUGUUACUAACGCAUUUGGGCGAGGACUCAUAUCAGACUGCCGGUGACAAACCGGAGGAAGGCGGGGAUGACGUCAAAUCAUCAUGCCCCUUAUGACCUGGGCUACACACGUACUACAAUGGCGUCUACAGAGGGAAGCGACCCUGAGAAGGGAAGCGAAACCGGAAAAGGGCGUCCCAGUUCGGAUUGAAGUCUGCAACCCGACUUCAUGAAGAUGGAAUCGCUAGUAAUCGCGGAUCAGCAUGCCGCGGUGAAUACGUUCCCGGGCCUUGUACACGCCGCCCGUCAAACCAUGGAAGCCGGCAACGCCCGAAGCCGGUGGCAUAACCUUUUAGGAGUGAGCCGUCGAAGGCGGGGCCGAUGACUGGGGUUAAGUCGUAACAAGGUACCC